AUAGCGUAUAUUAAAGUUGUUGCAGUUAAAAAGCUCGUAGUUGGAUUUCUGUUUUGAGCGUCCGGUCGGCUCCCUCUGGGAGUGUGUACUUUUGCGACGUUCGAGGCAUUUUUUGUGAGGACGCUUUUCUGCCAUUAAGUUGGUGGUUUGGUGGACUUGCAUCGUUUACUGUGAAAAAAUUAGAGUGUUUAAAGCAGGCGUUUGCUCAUUGAAUACAUUAGCAUGGAAUAAUAAGAUACGACCUUGGUGGUCUAUUUUGUUGGUUUGCACACCAGGGUAAUGAUUAAUAGGGAUAGUUGGGGGCAUUAGUAUUCAGUUGCUAGAGGUGAAAUUCUUGGAUUUACUGAAGACUAACUACUG
rnacentral:rRNA from 1 species